UACGUAGGUGGCUAGCGUUGUCCGGAUUUACUGGGCGUAAAGAGCGCGCAGGCGGUCGUUCAAGUCGAGUGUGAAAGCCCCCGGCUCAACUGGGGAGGGUCACUCGAUACUGAUCGACUUGAAGGCGGGAGAGGGAAGCGGAAUUCCCGGUGUAGAGGUGAAAUUCGUAGAUAUCGGGAGGAACACCAGUGGCGAAGGCGGCGAUCUGGGCAGUUACUGACGCUGAGGUGCGAAAGCGUGGGGAGCAAACAGG
rnacentral:rRNA from 1 species